rnacentral:rRNA from 1 species
UGGGGAAUCUUGCACAAUGGGGGAAACCCUGAUGCAGCGACGCCGCGUGAACGAUGAAGCCCUUCGGGGUGUAAAGUUCUUUCGACAGGAACGAUAAUGACGGUACCUGGAGAAGAAGCUGCGGCUAGCUACGUGCCAGCAGCCGCGGUAAUACGUAGGCAGCGAGCGUUGUUCGGAGUUACUGGGCGUAAAGAGUGCGUAGGCGGCGAGCCAAGUUUGGUGUGAAAUCUCCCGGCUUAACCGGGAGGGUGCGCCGAAAACUGGUUGGCUGGAGUAUGGGAGAGGAAAGCGGAAUUCCUGGUGUAGCGGUGAAAUGCGUAGAUAUCAGGAGGAACACCUGCGGUGUAGACAGCUUUCUGGACCAAAACUGACGCUGAGGCACGAAAGCGUGGGUAGCAAACA